GCCCCGGUAACCGAGUUGGUAGCGUGCUCGGAUUGUCAGUGCGGAGGUCGUGGGUUCGAUUCCCACCAGAGGCC
rnacentral:tRNA from 1 species